rnacentral:rRNA from 1 species
GAUGAACGCUAGCGGGAGGCCUAACACAUGCAAGCCGAGCGGUAUUGUUUCUUCGGAAAUGAGAGAGCGGCGUACGGGUGCGUAACACGUGUGCAACCUGCCUUUAUCUGGGGGAUAGCCUUUCGAAAGGAAGAUUAAUACUCCAUAAUAUAUUGAACGGCAUCGUUUAAGAUUGAAAGCUCCGGCGGAUAGAGAUGGGCACGCGCAAGAUUAGCUAGUUGGUGAGGUAACGGCUCACCAAGGCGAUGAUCUAUAGGGGGCCUGAGCGGGUGAUCCCCCACACUGGUACUGCGACACGGACCAGACUCCUACGGGAGGCAGCAGUGAGGAAUAUUGGUCAAUGGGUGCAAGCCUGAACCAGCCAUCCCGCGUGAAGGACGACUGCCCUAUGGGUUGUAAACUUCUUUUGUAUAGGGAUAAACCUACCCUCGAGAGGGUAGCUGAAGGUACUAUACGAAUAAGCACCGGCUAACUCCGUG